CGCGUAGGCGGCUUGUCGGGUCUGAUGUGAAAGCCCGGGGGCUCAACCCCGGAAGUGCAUUGGAAACUGGCAAGCUUGAGUUCGGAAGAGGAGGGCAGAAUUCCCGGUGUAGGGGUGGAAUCCGUAGAUAUCGGGAGGAAAACCAGUGGCGAAGGCGGCCCUCUGGGACGAAACUGACGCUAAGGCGCGAAAGCGUGGGGAGCAAACA
rnacentral:rRNA from 1 species